GAGUUUGAUCGUGGCUCAGGAUGAACGCUGGCGGCGUGCUUAACACAUGCAAGUCGAACGAAGAGAAUAGAAAGCUUGCUUUUGUUUUCUGAGUGGCGGACGGGUGAGUAACGUGUGGGCAACCUAUCCUAAACAGGGGAAUAAUCAUUGGAAACGAUGACUAAUACCGCGUAAUGUCGCCGAAAGGCAUCUUUUGGCGAAGAGAGGAGCAAUCCGGUUUUGGAGGGGCCCGCAUCUGAUUAGCUAGUUGGUGAGAUAACAGCCCACCAAGGCAACGAUCAGUAGCCGACCUGAGAGGGUGAUCGGCCACAUUGGGACUGAGACACGGCCCAAACUCCUACGGGAGGCAGCAGUGGGGAAUAUUGCACAAUGGGCGCAAGCCUGAUGCAGCAACGCCGCGUGAAGGAAGAAGGGUUUCGGCUCGUAAACUUCUAUCGACAGGGACGAAACAAAUGACGGUACCUGAAUAAGAAGCCCCGGCUAACUACGUGCCAGCCGCCGCGGUAAG
rnacentral:rRNA from 1 species